rnacentral:rRNA from 1 species
UGGGGAAUAUUGCACAAUGGGCGCAAGCCUGAUGCAGCCAUGCCGCGUGUAUGAAGAAGGCCUUCGGGUUGUAAAGUACUUUCAGCGGGGAGGAAGGGAGUAAAGUUAAUACCUUUGCUUAUUGACGUUACCCGCAGAAGAAGCACCGGCUAACUCCGUGCCAGCAGCCGCGGUAAUACGGAGGGUGCAAGCGUUAAUCGGAAUUACUGGGCGUAAAGCGCACGCAGGCGGUUUGUUAAGUCAGAUGUGAAAUCCCCGGGCUCAACCUGGGAACUGCAUCUGAUACUGGCAAGCUUGAGUCUCGUAGAGGGGGGUAGAAUUCCAGGUGUAGCAGUGAAAUGCGUAGAGAUCUGGAGGAAUACCGGUGGCGAAGGCGGCCCCCUGGACGAAGACUGACGCUCAGGUGCGAAAGCGUGGGGAGCAAACAGG